rnacentral:lncRNA from 1 species
AUGAGUGUAAUGAUGAUAGUUUUCCUCUUGUUGUUAUUGAUGAGUGUAAUGAUGAUAGUUUUCCUCUUGUUGUUAUUGAUGAGUAUAAUGAUGAUUAUGAUAGUUUUUCUCUUGUUGUUAUUGAUGAGUAUAAUGAUGAUAGUUUUCCUCUUGUUGUUAUUGAUGAGUAUAAUGAUGAUAGUUUUCCUCUUGUUGUUAUUGAUGAGUAUAAUGAUGAUAGUUUUCCUCUUGUUGUUAUUGAUGAGUAUAAUGAUGAUAGUUUUCCUCUUGUUGUUAUUGAUGAGUAUAAUGAGUAUAGUUGUCCUCUUGUUGUUAUUGAUGAGUAUAAUGAUGAUAGUUUUCCUCUUGUUGUUAUUGAUGAGUAUAAUGAGUAUAGUUGUCCUCUUGUUGUUAUUGAUGAGUAUAAUGAUGAUAGUUUUCCUCUUGUUGUUAUUGAUGAGUAUAAUGAUGAUUAUGAUAGUUUUCCUCUUGUUGUUAUUGAUGAGUAUAGUUGUCCUCUUGUUGUUAUUGAUGAGUAUAAUGAGUAUAGUUGUCCUCUUGUUGUUAUUGAUGAGUAUAAUGAGUAUAGUUGUCCUCUUGUUGUUAUUGAUGAGUAUAAUGAUGAUAGUUUUCCUCUUGUUGUUAUUGAUGAGUAUAAUGAUGAUAGUUUUCCUCUUGUUGUUAUUGAUGAGUAUAAUGAGUAUAGUUGUCCUCUUGUUGUUAUUGAUGAGUGUAAUGAUGAUAGUUUCUCUUGUUGUUAUUGAUGAGUGUAAUGAGUAUAGUUGUCCUCUUGUUGUUAUUGAUGAGUAUAAUGAGUAUAGUUGUCCUCUUGUUGUUAUUGAUGAGUGUAAUGAGUAUAGUUGUCCUCUUGUUGUUAUUGAUGAGUAUAAUGAGUAUAGUUGUCCUCUUGUUGUUAUUGAUGAGUAUAAUGAGUAUAGUUGUCCUCUUGUUGUUAUUGAUGAGUAUAAUGAUGAUUAUGAUAGUUUUUCUCUUGUUGUUAUUGAUGAGUAUAAUGAUGAUAGUUUUCCUCUUGUUGUUAUUGAUGAGUAUAAUGAUGAUAGUUUUCCUCUUGUUGUUAUUGAUGAGUAUAAUGAUGAUAGUUUUCCUCUUGUUGUUAUUGAUGAGUAUAAUGAUGAUAGUUUUCCUCUUGUUGUUAUUGAUGAGUAUAAUGAGUAUAGUUGUCCUCUUGUUGUUAUUGAUGAGUAUAAUGAUGAUAGUUUUCCUCUUGUUGUUAUUGAUGAGUAUAAUGAGUAUAGUUGUCCUCUUGUUGUUAUUGAUGAGUAUAAUGAUGAUAGUUUUCCUCUUGUUGUUAUUGAUGAGUAUAAUGAUGAUUAUGAUAGUUUUCCUCUUGUUGUUAUUGAUGAGUAUAGUUGUCCUCUUGUUGUUAUUGAUGAGUAUAAUGAGUAUAGUUGUCCUCUUGUUGUUAUUGAUGAGUAUAAUGAUGAUAGUUGUCCUCUUGUUGUUAUUGAUGAGUAUAAUGAUGAUAGUUGUCCUCUUGUUGUUAUUGAUGAGUAUAAUGAUGAUAGUUUUCCUCUUGUUGUUAUUGAUGAGUAUAAUGAUGAUAGUUUUCCUCUUGUUGUUAUUGAUGAGUAUAAUGAGUAUAGUUGUCCUCUUGUUGUUAUUGAUGAGUGUAAUGAUGAUAGUUUCUCUUGUUGUUAUUGA